AUUGAACGCUGGCGGCAGGCCUAACACAUGCAAGUCGAACGAGUGGCGGACGGGUGAGUAAUGUCUGGGAAACUGACUGAUGGAGGGGGAUAACUACUGGAAAAGGUAGCUAAUACCGCAUACCAUCGGAUGUGCCCAGAUGGGAUUAGCUAGUAGGUGGGGUAACGGCUCACCUCGGCGACGAUCCCUAGCUGGUCUGAGAGGAUGACCAGCCACACUGGAACUAGGACACGGUCCAGACUCCUACGGGAUGCAGCAGUGGGGAAGAUUGCACAAUGGGCGCAAGCCUGAUGCAGCCAUGCCGGGUGUAUGAAGAAGGCCUUCGGGUUGUAAAGUACUUUCAGCGGGGAGGCGUUACCCGCAGAAGAAGCACCGGCUAACUCCGUGUUAGCAGCCGCGGUAAUUC
rnacentral:rRNA from 1 species